GGAUUAGAUACCCUGGUAGUCCACGCCGUAAACGAUGAUCACUAGCUAUUGGCGAUACACUGUCAGUGGCACAGCGAAAGUGUUAAGUGAUCCACCUGGGGAGUACGAUCGCAAGGUUGAAACUCAAAGGAAUUGACGGGGGCCCGCACAAGCGGUGGAGCAUGUGGUUUAAUUCGAUGAUACGCGAGGAACCUUACCAGGGCUUAAAUGUAUGUUGACAUAUUGGGAAACCAGUAUUUCUUCGGACAAUAUACAAGGUGCUGCAUGGCUGUCGUCAGCUCGUGCUG
rnacentral:rRNA from 1 species